UACGUAGGGGGCAAGCGUUGUCCGGAUUUAUUGGGCGUAAAGCGCGUGUAGGCGGCCAGAUAGGUCUGCUGUGAAAACUCGAGGCUCAACCUCGAGCUGUCGGCGGAACCCAUCUGGCUAGAGUCCGGAAGAGGAGAGUGGAAUUCCUGGUGUAGCGGUGAAAUGCGCAGAUAUCAGGAAGAACACCUAUGGCGAAGGCAGCUCUCUGGGACGGUACUGACGCUGAGACGCGAAAGCGUGGGGAGCGAACAGG
rnacentral:rRNA from 1 species